rnacentral:rRNA from 1 species
AGUGAACGCUGGCGGUAGGCCUAACACAUGCAAGUCGAACGGCAGCACAGGAGAGCUUGCUCUCUGGGUGGCGAGUGGCGGACGGGUGAGGAAUACAUCGGAAUCUACUUUUUCGUGGGGGACAACGUAGGGAAACUUACGCUAAUACCGCAUACGCACUACGGGUCAAAGCAGGGGACCUUCGGGCCUUGCGCGAUUGAAUGAGCCGAUGUCGGAUUAGCUAGUUGGCGGGGUAAAGGCCCACCAAGGCGACGAUCCGUAGCUGGUCUGAGAGGAUGAUCAGCCACACUGGAACUGAGACACGGUCCAGACUCCUACGGGAGGCAGCAGUGGGGAAUAUUGGACAAUGGGCGCAAGCCUGAUCCAGCCAUACCGCGUGGGUGAAGAAGGCCUUCGGGUUGUAAAGCCCUUUUGUUGGGAAAGAAAUCCAGCUGGCUAAUACCCGGUUGGGAUGACGGUACCCAAAGAAUAAGCACCGGCUAACUUCGUGCCAGCAGCCGCGGUAA